UACGUAGGGGGCGAGCGUUGUCCGGAUUUAUUGGGCGUAAAGAGCGCGUAGGCGGCUUGUCAGGUCGGAUGUGAAAACCGGGGGCUUAACCCGCGGACUGCAUUCGAAACCGGCAGGCUUGAGUUUGGUAGAGGGAUGUGGAAUUCCUAGUGUAGCGGUGAAAUGCGCAGAUAUUAGGAAGAACACCAGUGGCGAAGGCGGCAUCCUGGGCCAUAACUGACGCUGAGGCGCGAAAGCUAGGGGAGCGAACAGG
rnacentral:rRNA from 1 species